rnacentral:lncRNA from 1 species
AGCUGCAGCAGAAGAGCGGAAAUGUCAAACGUGGAGGGCUGUGCCUGGCUGCUCCUGAGAAAACUGGAAGAUGGUGUGCCAUGUCAGAUCACGAGGCCACGAAGUGCACCAGUUUCCGAGACAAUAUGAAAAAAGUGUUUCCAGCAGAUGGUCCCCUUGUCACCUGCGUGGAGAGAGCGUCUUCCCUUGAGUACAUUAAAGCCAUCACAGAACAUUUUGGAAAAGACAAGUCGUCAGAAUUUCAGCUCUUUGGCUCUCCUCAUGAGACAGAUCUGCUGUUUACUGAUGCUGCCCAUGGGUUUUUAAUGGUCCCACCUAAGAUAGAUGCCAAGCUGUACCUGGGAUAUGAGUAUUUUUCCGCGACUCAGGAUCCAAAAAGAGGCAAACGAAGCGGAUGCUGUGACACUGGAUGCAGGUUUGGUGUAUGAUGCUUACCUGGCUCCCAAUAACCUGAAGCCUGUGGUGGCAGAGUUCUAUGGGUCAAAAGAGGAUCCACAGACUUUCUAUUAUGCUGUUGCUGUGGUGAAGAAGGAUAGUGGCUUCCAGAUGAACCAGCUUCGAGGCAAGAAGUC